rnacentral:tRNA from 1 species
CAUAGCUCAGUUGGUAGAGCAGUGGACUUUUAAUCCAUGUGUCCCAGGUUCAAGUCCUGGU